UACGUAGGGGGGCGAGCGUUGUCCGGAAUCAUUGGGCGUAAAGCGCGUGUAGGCGGCUCGGCAAGUCUGGUGUGAAAACUGGAGGCUCAACCUCCAGCUGUCGCUGGAUACUGCCGGGCUUGAGUCCGGAAGAGGAGAGUGGAAUUCCUGGUGUAGCGGUGGAAUGCGCAGAUAUCAGGAGGAACACCGGUGGCGAAGGCGGGUCUCUGGGCCGAUACUGACGCUGAGGAGCGAAAGCGUGGGGAGCGAACAGG
rnacentral:rRNA from 1 species